CACAGCAGGAGGGUUGCUGCCUAGCUGGAGCCUUCAUGUGCAUGUUCUCCAUGAGUCAUUAUUUGUUUUCAACAGGUGGGUCGGUUAUUUCUCACAGUCCAGCGCACCCAUGGAAGGUUAACUGAGGAUUCCAAGCAGGCUGUAGCUGUGGAAGAAGGUGUGGAUGUGGGUGUAAAUGGUUGUUCCAGCCUCUGUUUUAACUCAACUGUAACUGGUGCUCCUGGAACACAGAUGUAACCUCUCUCCUAACAGGUGGAGUGUCACCGUCUUGGAGGAGUGGAGCUGGGAGUGAAAUACUCAGAAAUCACGGGAAAUGCUGCACUGACCUGUUUUUUAAAUCACAACCUUGAGAAUUUCCCAACCGCGGCAUCCUAAAUCUGGAAUAUUUAUCUUCAAAACAUUUUUAGAAGACUGUUGUUCCAGAUUUGGAGGGGCUUCGCACAGCUGAGCUUGGAGCUUGCAGGCCUUCUUUCUGGAACACGGCAGCAGCACACAGGCUAUUUUGCCUGAGGCCUGACGUCAACGGGUCUUCAAGACAAAACACGUGUGAAAGAAGCACAUUUUAUCUGCAAGAUGUCAACCCGUCAUUGCGUGAAUGACAAUGAGUCAGUUCUGAGAAGAUCCCCAACACCACUGACUGAAAUGGAUCCACAAUCCAUGACACAGCCUCCGCUGUGUUUUACAGAUGGCUACAGACAUGCACUGUUGUACUUACCUCUUGACCUACUCUGUAUAUAUUGGCAACAGAUUUCCAGUCCAGUCCUUGUGUAAUUCGGCAUACAUCAGCAUUUUCUGUGUCAGGUCCCUGCUGGAGUUUCAUGUCCUUUCUUAAUGACAUAACUUCGCAUACUGUUCAUACUUUGAUUUAGGCUCGAAACAUCUUUUGUCCUGCGCUUGUCAAUUUUCGCUCAACACGCUGCACAUCAUGUUGAAAUAUGCCAAGUUUUCAACUAAUAUUGUUUUAGAAAUCACCUUGUUGGUGCAAGAAUACAAUUUUUAAGCCUGUCAAACUGUUUGCACCAAACUUUUUUAUAGAAACGGGAACAAUUCUCUGUUUUUGCAACAGUAUUUUAGUUACUUAUUUUUUGCUUGAAUAAUUCAUAGGUCAGUAUUAAUUGGCUGAAAAAAGCAGAACAAAAAAAAUAAAACCAUUCCUGUGAAAAUGUUUAGGUACGAGGACUGGACUGGACGGCUUUCAGAAAACCUGAAAAACUGUACUUCCAGACCCCUUUAAAAAAUUGAAAUAAAUAAAUAAAUAAAUACUG